CCAGAGCCCACCCUUGGAGAACCACUGGGCUAUAGAAUGAUGUCAAGGGCUGGAGAGGGAGGCUACAGAGUGGGUCUAGGUCCAGGUACAGUCUCAGAACCACACUGCAAAACUGGCUUAGUCAGGUAGCUGCUGUAUCUGCUGCUUCCACUGUGAACUCAAAAACCACAUUGCCUGUGCUGCAGGCCGGAAAGCUGCUGAACCAGGAAGCUGUGCUGAUGCUGCUGACUGCCCCUGAGGUUAGAGAUUGACUAGACAUAGUGCCACUGUCAUCCCUGCUGGAGAAGGUCCGAAGCACCUCCACCUCUGUGCUUCCAGAGGGGCACUGUGGUGGCCACUUAAAAUGCUCAGGCUAUACCAUGCACUAGAGCAUCUACCUGGGCAAGGGAUAUGCUGUAUGACACUCUCCUGAUGCUGGGCAUGGCUGUGAGCCAAAGCACCCAGGCAGCCCUGCCAUCAGAAGGGUAAACCACGGACACCUGAUGCCUUCCUGAAGGAAGAGCACUACGCCUGCCAAACCAUCAAGCGUUGAUGCUCCAGCGCCUUCUACCCGUGGUUCUCCAGCCUCAGCAGAAGAGAGAGAAAUUGAUGACCCUGUCGUUGUAGCAUCCCCAUCACCCAGCAAUUAAUUUUAGUUCAAUGCUUCAAACGCUCUUCAGGCGCAGUGUGCGUUCAGCUGUGUCAGCUAAUGCAAAUGGGGGAUCUCAGAAGUCUUAAUGAAGUAACUAUCCCUGAACACUGGGAUCAAUACUCAGCAUCCAGCUGUCAAAUCAACACCAAGCGUUUCACUCGUCGCCCAGCCUAGAGUGCAAUGGCGCUAUUUCGGCUCAUUAUAACCUCCGCCUCCCGGGUUCAAGCAAUUCUUCUGCUUCAGCGUCCCAAGUAGCUGGGAUUACAGCCGCCUCCUGGAGCAGAUUGUUAAGCUGAUGCGAGUCUGGGCUCUGCCUCACCACUUGUCUCAGAGGAAUCUCGGCCAAGAAGACAGGGACAAGCUCCCAACUCUGACUACCCCUUUUACAGGGAAAAAAAAAAAAUCCCGUGCCUUCUUUGCAGCAAGUGACAAAUCCUUGUCAUAUCGAGAUGGCUUUUCCUCCUCCUCUUCAAACAUCUUUUAGCAGCAACAGCAGCUCAAGUAACUGGAAUUAUUUCAGAGUUAAAAUGCAGGCUUUGUAGACCCUCUUAGACAGACAGAUUCAAUUUCAAAGGAAACUUCUUUGGCUGGGUACUCAGUGAGUGUUACACAGGGAUUUGGGGAGUUAAUAUUCACUGUUUCUGUUGUUGGAGAAAAGGAAAGCAGAGUUGCUCUUUCUCAUUACUCUCCCCAACGCACAUCUGUUUCCUCUCGUAUCUUGGAAUUAGGAAGAUGGAGGAGACUUAAGUGGUGACCCACCUAGCCUCCUGAUGCAUGCUGGGCUCACUUUAAAACUCCCAAAACAGAUGGCAGUUGAUCACGGUUUUAAAGAUCCCAGCAUAGACUUUCUGCAGCCUCCCUUGUUAGCCACUAUCAGCGCUUAACAUUCUGUCAUCUGAAUAACUCCUUAAAAAUGAUAGCAAUGGUAGUAGAAAUUUAAAAGGAACCUCCCAAAAAACAUGCAAAAGCUUACCACCCCAGUAAAUCACCCGCAACAAUGUCGCAACAGUUUAAAUUUACUGCAGAGAGAGCUGAAGUUUAGGAGACACAGCUUUAUAAUAUUUUUGAGAGAUAGUUGAGUGCAAAUGAGUCCUGUUCCUCUUGCAUCAGGGCCUGCUCCACUGAGUCAUCCUGCCUUCAGAAGCUUCCAGCUAAGUGGCAGGCCCCGGCCAUAGGCUCCCUGUGUCCCCAGCCUCCAGAGAACACACAAUGUUCUCAUCGCCCUUAGCUCCAUUCCAGAAGGGGCCUGCAGUUCUGCAGCUUAUCAGGGGUCUACUGGGAAGUGAGAUGUCACUGUCCCUUUCUGGCCCUGCAUUGUCUGUGAGUGGCUCUCCUGGAUUAAGAGUUGGCAAAGUAUGGCCAGUGGCCAGGACUGGCCUGCUGCCUGUUUUUGUUUAACCCGUGAGCUAAGAAUAGUUUUUACCUAUUUUAAGUAGUUGAAAAAAAAAUCAAGAGAAGAAUACUAUUUCGUGAUAUGUGAAAAAUCACAUGAAAUUCAAAUGUAAGUGUCCAUAAAUAAAGUCUUACUGGAAGACAGCCUUGCUCAUUUAUUUCUGUCUCAUUCGCUACUGUCUGCGGCUGCCUUCACGCUACAAUGGCAGUACUGAGUAGUUGUGACGGGCACUGUAUGACAGCAAAUCCUAAAGUAUUUGCCAUCUGGCCCUUCACAGAAAAAGUUUGCUGACCCUGGCUUUCGAGCCUCUCAUCACUUUGGGAUUCAUCUCUUUACUUUCCCCAGAGUGAGGGAGGCAGUAACGUUCCUCGUGAGUGCUUAGUCCUUGCUCCCAAGGCAAUAAACCCCCCAAAACCCCUCUCUUUCUGCAGUCUUCUUGUUGGCUUGAUAGUGGUAGGGCUGGUUCAGCCAAGGUCACAGUUGGAGGGCAGGAAGGGGGUACAGCGAAGGACGACGGGGGUGUCUUCUCUAGUCCUGUUUGCAGCAAUCUUUAGAAUGCAAAAUAAUUAAGAAGAAACUGCUGUUUUUUGGCUGUGGGAUGCAAUUCGAAUUCUGGAAAAUUAGAAUCAACAGAACGUGGGAUGUGGGAGUCCAGGACAACUCCCCUGUUUUGGCUGUGUUUGGUGCCAUGUGUGGAGGUGGGAGAGAUGGGAGAAAGAAGAGGUUUGGGCAGGGGGAGGGAAGAAUCAAGAUUCUGCUUUGAAUGGACGAAGGUUGUGGUUUGUUGAGAGGACAACUAGAUAACUGGCCACUUGAAGAUGGGAUGGAAGUCUGAAUCUGCAAGGAGUCACAGAUGAAUGGUAUGGAAAGCUGUGGUAGUGGAUGAGAUCAUACGAACGGUGGGUGCAGAUGGAAACGAGAAGCCAUCUAAGGACUCGUAAUGGGCUCCUCAACACUUGGAAGUUGGGUAGAGGAAGAAGACCGCAUGAGGGCAGGAUCCUGAAUGUUCCACUCACUGCUAUAUCCCUAGCACUGGUUACAGUGCUUGGCACACACUGCAUGCUCAAUAAAUUAUUUGUUGCCCAUAUAAGUGAACGUGAAUUCCAAUGGACUAGCAUCUUCCACUCUCAACAUAAACAAAAACAACAGCAACAUUGCAAUUCCCUAUCUUCUCUUCCCUGAUCUCUUUCUCAUUCUGUCUCUCCUUCCCUUUUCCUCUGCCUUCCUGUUGCCUUCUCUGAUAUGAGUUAAAUUUAUCAGGGGUGUCCAGGUACCCGGCUAUUCUUGAGCAUUCCUUAUCUGGCUA
rnacentral:lncRNA from 10 species